AUUGAACGCUGGCGGCAUGCCUUACACAUGCAAGUCGAACGGUAACGCGGGGCAACCUGGCGACGAGUGGCGAACGGGUGAGUAAUGCAUCGGAACGUGCCCAGUAGUGGGGGAUAGCCCGGCGAAAGCCGGAUUAAUACCGCAUACGACCUAUGGGUGAAAGCGGGGGACCGUAAGGCCUCGCGCUAUUGGAGCGGCCGAUGUCAGAUUAGGUAGUUGGUGGGGUAAAGGCCCACCAAGCCUACGAUCUGUAGCUGGUCUGAGAGGACGACCAGCCACACUGGGACUGAGACACGGCCCAGACUCCUACGGGAGGCAGCAGUGGGGAACUUUGGACAAUGGGCGCAAGCCUGAUCCAGCCAUGCCGCGUGCGGGAAGAAGGCCUUCGGGUUGUAAACCGCUUUUGUCAGGGAAGAAACGCUCUGGGCUAAUACCCCGGGGUAAUGACGGUACCUGAAGAAUAAGCACCGGCUAACUACGUGCCAGCCGCCGCGGUAAGAC
rnacentral:rRNA from 1 species